CCAGAUCUACAGAUUCAACAUAGUCCCUGUGGAGAGAAAUGGUAAAAAAAAAAUCACCUUCCAGAGAGACAUUCUGGAUCCUCUCUGGAGCAACUCUUACGGAAUGCUCAUCUACAGGUGCGAUUGCAUCAUUCACCUGCAGGAUAGUCACGUCAGGUGACUGACUAUUUCUAAAAUGUACCUCAAUCGAGUCAGGUCUUUCUUCUAUCACAUGGCAAUUACGAUCAGAUUGAACAUGUGAUUUCUUAUAGGUUAU